rnacentral:rRNA from 1 species
UACGUAGGGCGCAAGCGUUGUCCGGAAUUAUUGGGCGUAAAGAGCUCGUAGGCGGUUUGUUACGUCGGAUGUGAAAGCCCGGGGCUUAACCCCGGGUCUGCAUUCGAUACGGGCAGACUAGAGUGUGGUAGGGGAGAUCGGAAUUCCUGGUGUAGCGGUGAAAUGCGCAGAUAUCAGGAGGAACACCGGUGGCGAAGGCGGAUCUCUGGGCCAUUACUGACGCUGAGGAGCGAAAGCGUGGGGAGCGAACAGG